AUGUAUUUAUCACAUCGCCCGUCUGUGGGCCGCGCCCGCGCGCCCCCUCCCGCGCUGCCGCCGCCGCCGCCGCCGCCGCCGCCGCCGCUCUCUUCGCCGAGCCUCGGAUACAGGCUCCCAGGCCGGGGCCGGGGUCUCCGUCCGGGCGGCGCGGCCGAGGGGAGCGGCGGGGCCGGGGCCGGGCCGGGGCGCAGCGGGGCGGGCCGCGUGCGGGGAUUAGGGCCGCACGAGAGGAGACUGCGCCGCGGCCUCCAGCCACGUGAGGACGGACGGGGCUUCAAAGGUGCCCCCCAGCUAAUCCUUGUUAUCCGGCGGCGCGCCCGAGCUCCGGCCUGCUGCUCGGGUUGGGCUCCCCCGCGCGCCCCCGGAGCCCGCCGGCCGGUGGGGCAGCCCGGGGCCAGCCGGCGGGGUUGCACGGCGGGGCGGGGCGGGGGCCUCGAGGGCCUCGAGCGCCUCGCGCCCCCGGCACCCCCCGGGCCAGGGUGCCGUGGCGGGGGAGGCGGGGGGGGGGCUCGGGCGCGCGCGGGUGGCGGCGCGCACGGGGCGCUCUCGGGAACAAGUAGCUGGAGGGCACAGCAGGCCCGGGGGCGCCCCCGCAGCCCGCGCCUCCCGGGGGCGUAUCUGAGGCCGGCGCGCGCCCGGCCCCGCGGGCCCCGCCCCGCGCCCCGCGCCCCGCGCCCCGCGCCCCGCGCCCCGCGCCCCGCGCCCCGCGCCCCGCGCCCCGCGCCCCGCGCCCCGCGCCCCGCGCCCCGCGCCCCGCCCCGCCCCGCGCCCCGCGCCCCCCGCCGCCCGAGCGGCCGCGCGGCGCAAUCUGUCAGGCCCUCGGCCCGUUUCCAUAUGAAGGGCGCGCCGGGCGCCUUGGGAGCGCUGAAAGGCCGCUCGCGGUCGGGCGGGCGCGCACGCCCCGCGGCCCCGGCUGGAUUUGGCCGCAUUUGCAUAGCAGGUGCUGAUGCUUGUCCAUUCUUACUUAAAGAAGUUUUAAUAUGGGAUAAAUUACCAGGAAUUAGGAGCAGGCGUGGGCGGGAAUAA
rnacentral:lncRNA from 1 species